rnacentral:rRNA from 1 species
UACGUAGGUGGCAAGCGUUGUCCGGAUUUACUGGGCGUAAAGGGCGUGCAGGCGGUCUGUUAAGUCUAGGGUGAAAGCUCCCGGCUCAACUGGGAGAGGUCCUUGGAUACUGGCGGACUUGAGGGAGGUAGAGGAAAGUGGAAUUCCCGGUGUAGUGGUGAUAUGCGUAGAUAUCGGGAGGAACACCUGAGGUGAAGACGGGUUGCUGGGCCAACACUGACGCUGAUGCGCGAAAGCCAGGGGAGCAAACGGG